rnacentral:misc_RNA from 1 species
AACGCACAUUGCGCCCUUUGGUAUUCCGAAGGGCAUGCCUGUUCGAGCGUCAUUUCACCACUCAAGCCUGGCUUGGUAUUGGGCGCCGCGGUCAAUCCGCGCGCUUCAAAGUCUCCGGCUGAGCUGUCCGUCUCUAAGCGUUGUGAUUUCAUUAAUCGCUUCGGAGUGCGGGCGGCCGCGGCCGUUAAAUCUUUCACAAGGUUGACCUCGGAUCAGGUAGGGAUACCCGCUGAACUUAA